ACGGCUCAGUAACACGUAGAUAAUUUGCCCUUGGUGGAGGAUACCCUCGGGAAACUGAGAAUAAUACUCCAUAGAUCUAGACUGCUGGAAUGCUUUUAGAUCGAAAGAUUUAUCGCCUAAGGAUAAGUCUGCGGACUAUCAGGUUGUAGUUAGGGUAACUACCUGACUAGCCUACGACGGAUACGGGUAGUGAGAGCUUUAGCCCGGAGAUGAUAUCUGAGACACGAUAUCAGGCCCUACGGGGCGCAGCAGGCGCGAAAACUUCGCACUGUGCGAAAGCACGACGAGGGAAUCCCAAGUGCUGGCUCGUAAGAGUCAGCUGUUUUUCUGUCUAGAAAACAGAGAGAGUAAGAGCUGGGUAAGACGGGUGCCAGCCGCCGCGGUAAUACCUGCAGCUCAAGUGGUGGCCGCUGUUAUUGGGCCUAAAACGUUCGUAGCCGGUCUAGUAAAUGCCUGGGUGAAUCAUACGGCUUAACCGUACGAAUUCCGGGUAGACUGCUGGACUUGGGACUGGGAGAGGCUAGAGGUACUCCUGGGGUAGAGGUGAAAUUCUGUAAUCCUAGGGGGACGACCAGUGGCGAAGGCGUCUAGCUAGAACAGGUCUGACGGUGAGGAACGAAGCCCUGGGGCGCAAACGGGAUUAGAUACCCCGGUAGUCCAGGGUGUAAACACUGCUUGCUUGAUGUUAGUCGGGCUCCGAGCCCGAUUAGUGUCGGAGAGAAGUUGUUAAGCAAGCUGCCUGGGGAGUACGGCCGCAAGACUGAAACUUAAAGGAAUUGGCGGGGGAGCAC
rnacentral:rRNA from 1 species